rnacentral:misc_RNA from 1 species
UCCGGGUUGGUCCCGGCGGUCCCGCCAGACGUGGUAACUGGCGGCGGGGGUUGCGCUCGUUGCGGGACUUAACCCAACACCUCACGGCACAAGCUGACGACAGCCGUGCAGCACCUGUGCGCGCUCCCUCGCGGGUCCCUCCCCUUUCGGGUCGGUACCACGCUCAUGUCAAGCCCGGGUAAGGUUCUUCGCGUUGCGUCGAAUUAAACCACAUGCUCCACCGCUUGUGCGGGCCCCCGUCAAUUCCUUUGAGUUUCAGCCUUGCGGCCGUACUCCCCAGGCGGGGCACUUAUUGCGUUAGCUGCGACACCGAAUCCGUCUAUAGACCCGGCAUCUAGUGCCCAUCGUUUACGGCGUGGACUAC